rnacentral:rRNA from 1 species
UACGUAGGGUGCAAGCGUUGUCCGGAAUUAUUGGGCGUAAAGAGCUCGUAGGCGGUCUGUCACGUCGUCUGUGAAAACCCGAGGCUCAACCUCGGGCCUGCAGUCGAUACGGGCAAACUAGAGUACUGCAGGGGAGACUGGAAUUCCUGGUGUAGCGGUGAAAUGCGCAGAUAUCAGGAGGAACACCGGUGGCGAAGGCGGGUCUCUGGGCAGUAACUGACGCUGAGGAGCGAAAGCGUGGGGAGCGAACAGG